rnacentral:rRNA from 1 species
AACGCGAAGAACCUUACCCAGGCUCGAAAUGCAGGUGGCGAUACCAGAGAUGGUAUUUUCCGUAAGGACGCCUGUAUAGGUGCUGCAUGGCUGUCGUCAGCUCGUGCCGUGAGGUGUUGGGUUAAGUCCCGCAACGAGCGCAACCCUUAUCAUUAGUUGCCAACACGCAAGGUGGGGACUCUAAUGAGACUGCCUAGGUUAACUAGGAGGAAGGUGAGGAUGACGUCAAGUCCGCAUGGCCUUUAUGUCUGGGGCUACACACGUGCUACAAUGGUCGGUACAGAAGGCAGCAAGACCGUGAGGUGGAGCAAAUCCGUAAAACCGAUCUCAGUUCAGAUUGUAGUCUGCAACUCGACUACAUGAAGCUGGAAUUGCUAGUAAUGACGUGUCAGCAACAACGUCGUGAAUACGUUCCCGGGCCUUGUA